rnacentral:rRNA from 1 species
GACGAACCGUGCAAACGUUAUUCGGAAUCACUGGGCUUAAAGGGCGCGUAGGCGGGUCAGCAAGUCAGGGGUGAAAUCCCACGGCUCAACCGUGGAAGUGCCUUUGAUACUGUUGAUCUCGAGGGAGGUAGGGGCGUGCGGAACUUCCGGUGGAGCGGUGAAAUGCGUAGAUAUCGGGAAGAACACCUGAGGCGAAGGCGGGUUGCUGGGCUGAUACUGACGCUGAGGCGCGAAAGCCAGGGGAGCAAACGGG